rnacentral:rRNA from 1 species
UGGGGAAUAUUGGACAAUGGGCGAAAGCCUGAUCCAGCCAUGCCGCGUGAAUGAAGAAGGCCUUAUGGUUGUAAAGCACUUUAAGUGGGGAGGAAAAGCUUAUGGAUAACACCCAUAGGUUCUGACGUUACCCACAGAAUAAGCACCGGCUAACUCUGUGCCAGCAGCCGCGGUAAUACAGAGGGUGCAAGCGUUAAUCGGAAUUACUGGGCGUAAAGCGAGCGUAGGUGGUUUAUUAAGUCAGAUGUGAAAUCCCUGGGCUUAACCUAGGAACUGCAUCUGAUACUGAUAAACUAGAGUAGGUGAGAGGAAAGUAGAAUUCCAGGUGUAGCGGUGAAAUGCGUAGAUAUCUGGAGGAAUACCGAUGGCGAAGGCAGCUUUCUGGCAUCAUACUGACACUGAGGUUCGAAAGCGUGGGUAGCAAACAGGAUUAGAUACCCUGGUAGUCCACGCCGUAAACGAUGUCUACCAGUCGUUGGGUCUUUUAAAGGCUUAGUGACGCAGUUAACGCGAUAAGUAGACCGCCUGGGGAGUACGGCCGCAAGGUUA